CCCCGAUGGCGACGGAUUGGCUCGCGUCCGAUUAGCUUGUUGGCGGGGUAACGGCCCACCAAGGCUACGAUCGGUAGGGGUUCUGAAGGAAGGCCCCCCACAAUGGGACUGAGACACGGCCCAUACUCCUACGGGAGGCAGCAGUGAGGAAUAUUGGUCAAUGGGCGGAAGCCUGAACCAGCCAUGCCGCGUGCGGGAAGGAGGCCUAUGGGCUGUGAACCGCUUUUGCCUGGGGGCGAGUACCAGGCGAAUAAGCAUCGGCUAACUCCGUGCCAGCAGCCGCGGUAAUACGGGGGAUGCGAGCGUUAUCCGGAUUCAUUGGGUUUAAAGGGUGCGUAGGCUGUGCGUCAAGUCGGGGGUGAAAUUCCGGUGCUCAACACCGGGGCUGCCCUUGAUACUGUCGCGCUGGAGUGCGGAUGCCGCCGGAGGAAUGAGUGGUGUAGCGGUGAAAUGCUUAGAUAUCACUCAGAACACCGAUUGCGAAGGCAUCUGGCGAAUCCGUAACUGACGCUGAGGCACGAAAGCGUGGGGAUAGAACAGGAUUAGAUACCCUGGUAUUCCACGCCGUAAACAUGAUGGCUAACCGCCGGC
rnacentral:rRNA from 1 species